AACGAACGCUGGCGGCAGGCUUAACACAUGCAAGUCGAACGCCCCGCCAGGGGAGUGGCCGACGGGUGAGUAACGCGUGGGAACAUACCCUUUUCUACGGAAUAGCUCUGGGAAACUGGAAUUAAUACCGUAUACGCCCUACGGGGGAAAGAUUUAUCGGGGAAGGAUUGGCCCGCGUUGGAUUAGCUAGUUGGUGGGGUAAAGGCCUACCAAGGCGACGAUCCAUAGCUGGUCUGAGAGGAUGAUCAGCCACAUUGGGACUGAGACACGGCCCAAACUCCUACGGGAAGCAGCAGUGGGGAAUAUUGGACAAUGGGCGCAAGCCUGAUCCAGCCAUGCCGCGUGAGUGAUGAAGGCCUUAGGGUUGUAAAGCUCUUUCACCGAUGAAGAUAAUGACGGUAGUCGGAGAAGAAGCCCCGGCUAACUUCGUG
rnacentral:rRNA from 1 species